UUUUUAUAUUUUAAAAAAGAUAUUACUUCUAAAGGUCCGGUCGGGAAUUGACACAUAUAUUUUAUAAAAAUCAUUUGAAGAAAUUACUUAGUGAAAUGCCGCGCAGGGGUGGUGAUGACUCUCAAGAUGGACGCCAACGUCGUGGUCAGGAAUACGUUGAAAGUGAGGUUAUCGAGUUGGAGCCCGCG